rnacentral:rRNA from 1 species
UGCUAUACAUGCAGUCGAACGCUUCUUUCCUCCCGAGUGCUUGCACUCAAUUGGAAAGAGGAGUGGCGGACGGGUGAGUAACACGUGGGUAACCUACCCAUCAGAGGGGGAUAACACUUGGAAACAGGUGCUAAUACCGCAUAACAGUUUAUGCCGCAUGGCAUAAGAGUGAAAGGCGCUUUCGGGUGUCGCUGAUGGAUGGACCCGCGGUGCAUUAGCUAGUUGGUGAGGUAACGGCUCACCAAGGCCACGAUGCAUAGCCGACCUGAGAGGGUGAUCGGCCACACUGGGACUGAGACACGGCCCAGACUCCUACGGGAGGCAGCAGUAGGGAAUCUUCGGCAAUGGACGAAAGUCUGACCGAGCAACGCCGCGUGAGUGAAGAAGGUUUUCGGAUCGUAAAACUCUGUUGUUAGAGAAGAACAAGGACGUUAGUAACUGAACGUCCCCUGACGGUAUCUAACCAGAAAGCCACGGCUAACUACGUGCCAGCAGCCGCGGUAAUACGUAGGUGGCAAGCGUUGUCCGGAUUUAUUGGGCGUAAAGCGAGCGCAGGCGGUUUCUUAAGUCUGAUGUGAAAGCCCCCGGCUCAACCGGGGAGGGUCAUUGGAAACUGGGAGACUUGAGUGCAGAAGAGGAGAGUGGAAUUCCAUGUGUAGCGGUGAAAUGCGUAGAUAUAUGGAGGAACACCAGUGGCGAAGGCGGCUCUCUGGUCUGUAACUGACGCU